CUGCAGAGAGGAGGGCAGACCUCGCUGUAAAGACUGAAGUCCCAGGACACAUUCCCAGGGCUGAGCCAGAGGUGAUGGAAACUAAACACACAGGGGGUGGCCCUCGCAGGGUAAACUUACUUCCGGUAUCAACAACGGCCAUUGAAAUACUUUUUAGAUCAAUUUCCAGUUUGUCACUUGCAUGAACAACGCCUGAGGGAACUGAGAAGGCGCCAUUUUCAGAGGAAACGAUUUUAUGAAAUACGUGGUUUCACUGAAUUGGACUGUUUGUUUCGUAAUGUAAGUAUAAAUUUGUGUAAGUUGCUUAACAAAUCUGAGGAAAAGACAAGUUAAGACAAAUGGAGGAAUGUCUUGUCCUUUGCAUUGUUCCUUACAAUCAACAUAAGCAACAAUAAUCUUCAAUUUAUCUGUAUCCUGAUGGGGAGCACACUUGAUUUUUGGUGAAAGGAAGUAAUCACAACUUUUGAAGACCAAUGUGAAGAGCAGAUGGCCUGCUAUAUUUAAGUAGAGACUGUCGAUGUGACCAAACUGUGUGCCAAGCAAAAUAAUAGCCAUUACUGUGAUUUAUGCAAAACCUGGUUGGCUCAACACUAUGACCGGAGCAGCACUGAACAUGUAAUGUCAAAGAACACUCCUGUACCUCCAUUUCUGAUGAGGGAGGACCCAAAGCUGAAGCCUCCUACUAAAAAAAAUGCUAAAACCCAUUAAUUCAAGCCCUAUGAACCACUUCACCCAGAUA